GGUUUAGCAAGUUGUAUGUGAAAGCCCUAGGCUCAACCUAGGAACUGCAUCCAAAACUACUAAGCUAGAGUACGAGAGAGGAGAGUAGAAUUUCUGGUGUAGCGGUGAAAUGCGUAGAUAUCAGAAGGAAUACCAAUGGCGAAGGCAGCUCUCUGGCUCGUCACUGACGCUGAGGUGCGAAAGCGUGGGUAGCAAACAGGAUUAGAUACCCUGGUAGUCCACGCCGUAAACGAUGACAACUAGCCGUUGGGCAGAUUUAACUGUUCAGUGGCACAGCUAACGCAUUAAGUUGUCCGCCUGGGGAGUACGGCCGCAAGGCUAAAACUCAAAUGAAUUGACGGGGGCCCGCACAAGUGGUGGAGCAUGUGGUUUAAUUCGAUGCAACGCGAAGAACCUUACCAAUCCUUGAAAUCUAGCGAAGUUCGCAGAGAUGUGAAUGUGCCUUCGGGAACGCUAUGACAGGUGUUGCAUGGCUGUCGUCAGCUCGUGUCGUGAGAUGUAUGGUUAAGUCCAGUAACGAGCGCAACCCCUAUCCUUAUUUGCCAGCGCGUAAUGGCGGGAACUAUAGGGAGACUGCCGGGUGAAACCCGGAGGAAGGCGGGGACGAGGUCAAGUCAUCAUGGCCCUUAUGGAUUGGGCUACACACGUGCUACAAUGGGAAGUACAGAGGGAUGCGAAAGCGCGAGCUGAAGCCAAACCCUUAAAACUUUUCUUAGUCCGGAUUGGAGUCUGCAACUCGACUCCAUGAAGUCGGAAUCACUAGUAAUCGCGAAUCAGAAUGUCGCGGUGAAUACGUUCUCGGGCCUUGUACACACCGCCCGUCACAUCAUGGAAGUGGGUUGCACCCAGAAUGUGGUUAGUCUAACCUUCG
rnacentral:rRNA from 1 species